CGGCCACCUGCACCUGGUGGAGCUGCUCAUCGCCAGUGGCGCCAAUCUCCUGGCGGUCAACACCGACGGGAACAUGCCCUAUGACCUGUGUGAUGAUGACCAGACGCUGGACUGCCUGGAGACUGCCAUGGCCGACCGUGGUAGGUGCGGCGGUGCGGCUGUGGGAGGGCUGCCGGUCGCGCUCCCUCUGAGCCUGCCGCCUCGCAGGCAUCACCCAGGACAGCAUCGAGGCCGCCCGGGCCGUGCCAGAACUGCGCAUGCUGGAUGACAUCCGGAGCCGGCUGCAGGCCGGGGCAGACCUCCAUGCCCCCCUGGACCACGGGGCCACGCUGGUGAGGGCUGGAGGGUGACGGGCACACGGGGCUGGGGGCCUUGCUACUUGGAGGUGGGGGAUGGGGCCGAAUUCAGGCCGGGCGCUUGCCUGCAGCUGCACAUCGCAGCCGCCAACGGGUUCAGCGACGCGGCCGCCCUGCUGCUGGAACACAGAGCCAGCCUGAGCGCUAAGGACCAAGACGGCUGGGAGCCGCUGCACGCCGCGGCCUACUGGGGCCAGGUGAGUGCGGGCGGGAGCAGGUGGGAGGGGGCUUCCAGCGCAGCAGUCUGCAGCUCCGGCCUGCCGCCUACAGGUGCCCCUGGUGGAGCUGCUCGUGGCGCACGGGGCCGACCUGAACGCAAAGUCUCUGAUGGACGAGACGCCCCUUGGUGAGCUUGCGGGGCCCACCUCCACCUGGGGGAGAGGACAGGCGGGGAGGGCGCCCCUGACGCCCGCGCCCACUUCUCAGAUGUGUGCGGGGACGAGGAGGUGCGGGCCAAGCUGCUGGAGCUGAAGCACAAGCACGACGCCCUCCUGCGCGCCCAGGGCCGCCAGCGCUGCUUGCUGCGCCGCCGCACCUCC
rnacentral:sRNA from 1 species